rnacentral:rRNA from 1 species
CGCGUAGGCGGUCUGUUAAGUGGGAUGUGAAAUCCCCGGGCUUAACCUGGGAAUUGCAUUCCAAACUGGCCGACUAGAGUACGGUAGAGGGAGGUAGAAUUUCCUGUGUAGCGGUGAAAUGCGUAGAUAUAGGAAGGAAUACCAGUGGCGAAGGCGGCCUCCUGGAUCGAUACUGACGCUGAGGUGCGAAAGCGUGGGGAGCAAACA